CCCUGGAUGGUAGUAGAAAUGUGCCAAGGUUUUGAAGUGAAUGAACACCUUAACCUCUACACCUAUCCCCAGGACCUACCAAGGAACAUUUUGUUACCAAUAGCCAACAAAUAUCAUUUCCAUUUUACUCCAUCAACCUGAUAUAGCUGUUCUGCUGGCAAGAAAGUAAUUGGGCCUUUUAUGGUUGCAAGCUGAGACUGAGUCAGCUUUCCUGCUCAACUGUUAGUUCCAUGAAGGCAACAGCCAUGCCUGCUUUGUUCACUGAAAUAUCUUUGUUUCCUAACACAUAGAAAGUCAUCAUUUUUUGACGGCUGAAAGAAUGAAUGAAUGCCUAGUCUUGGAGACAUCUACUUCCAAUAAAGUUUAGAUGAAGGAAACGGAUGCCAGUGGGAGAUUUGUGGAUCUAUUUCACCAGAUUUCACUCUGCUGACUCAGCAAAAGGGUCCCCAAAGAAAGACUGAUCUUUCAAAAACAAUGGCAUAUGACGGGAUUAUCAGGAAAAUAAUCAAGAAAUAUAGUCAAGAAAUGUAGAAAAAAUUCUUCAGAG